UACGAAGGGGGCUAGCGUUGCUCGGAAUCACUGGGCGUAAAGCGCACGUAGGCGGAUCUUUAAGUCAGGGGUGAAAUCCCGGAGCUCAACUCCGGAACUGCCUUUGAUACUGAAGACCUUGAGUCCGGGAGAGGUGAGUGGAACUGCGAGUGUAGAGGUGAAAUUCGUAGAUAUUCGCAAGAACACCAGUGGCGAAGGCGGCUCACUGGCCCGGUACUGACGCUGAGGUGCGAAAGCGUGGGGAGCAAACAGG
rnacentral:rRNA from 1 species